GCCUGGAUAGCUCAGUUGGUUGGGCAUCUGACUUCAGCUCAAGUCAUGAUCUCAUGGUCCGUGGGUUCAAGCCCCACAUCGGGCU
rnacentral:tRNA from 1 species